rnacentral:rRNA from 1 species
UACAGAGGUGGCAAGCGUUGUUCGGAAUUACUGGGCGUAAAGGGCUCGUAGGCGGCCAACUAAGUCAUACGUGAAAUCCCUCGGCUUAACCGGGGAACUGCGUCUGAUACUGGAUGGCUUGAGAUUGGGAGAGGGAUGCGGAAUUCCAGGUGUAGCGGUGAAAUGCGUAGAUAUCUGGAGGAACACCGGUGGCGAAGGCGGCAUCCUGGACCGGCAUUGACGCUGAGGCGCGAAAGCUAGGGGAGCAAACGGG